rnacentral:rRNA from 1 species
GACGAACGCUGGCGGCGUGCCUAAUACAUGCAAGUAGAACGCUGAAGGAGGAGCUUGCUUCUCUGGAUGAGUUGCGAACGGGUGAGUAACGCGUAGGUAACCUGCCUGGUAGCGGGGGAUAACUAUUGGAAACGAUAGCUAAUACCGCAUAAUAGUAGAUGUUGCAUGACAUUUUCUUAAAAGGUGCAAUUGCAUCACUACCAGAUGGACCUGCGUUGUAUUAGCUAGUUGGUGGGGUAACGGCUCACCAAGGCGACGAUACAUAGCCGACCUGAGAGGGUGAUCGGCCACACUGGGACUGAGACACGGCCCAGACGCCUACGGGAGGCAGCAGUAGGGAAUCUUCGGCAAUGGACGGAAGUCUGACCGAGCAACGCCGAGUGAGUGAAGAAGGGUGUCGGAUCGUAAAGCUCUGUUGUAAGAGAAGAACGAGUGUGAGAGUGGAAAGUUCACACUGUGACGGUAUCUUACCAGAAAGGGACGGCUAACUACGUG